AAUUGACGUCGCAUCCUUUGUACAAAUCACGGAAAAGUAUUUAAAUAUAGAAUCCAUUUAUUCGUCAUAAUGAACCUUCCAAGUACUGCAGAAUUCCUUAGGCUCAGGCAACAUUUUAAUCGCUUUACUCAUUGAAGUACAGGUGUCAGGUGAAAAUACUUUCGUAAUCCAGCUGGACUGAGUGUCAGAAAUUACAGGAGAGGAAGCUCCUAAUCAAAUGUGCAGCCCUCUCAAGUAGUUGUCAUGCAGCCCAUUUACAAAAUUAAUGGCGGAGUUCUUCUGAAAACUUUGAGUGUACCUUCUCCUUGAUCAUAGUAAUGAGAAGAAGGCAUGUCCUGGAUGGCGAGGGCCCUUGAUAGCAAAUGCUCCUACUUGAGGAAGAAGAGUCCUCGAUAGUGGGAAGACUUCAGCCAGUGAAGGAGCUGGCUUAGUCUACAACCCUCUGCAGACACUUUCAAUCCUGUGUAUUAGCGCUUCCGUACCAGGCUGCGAUUCAACUACUCAGGAUGCUUUCUGCGUACAUCGGAGUCUUUGCCAACUUACCAAAUCUCCUCAAAUCCCUAAUGAAGUAUAGCUGCUGGUGUGCAUUCUUUGUGAUUGCAUCAAUAUGUUCGGCCCAGGAUAGAUCCUCAGAGAUGUCAACACCCAGGGAGUUGAAGCUGCUUACCCUUUCCACUGCUGGAUAAAGGCUGGCUCUUUGGAUUCAUCCCACCUUCCAAAGACAUGCAAUUGACCACUAUGCUGCCUGACCUGCAGAGCUCCUCCAGCAUUUUGUGUGUGUUCCUCUGGAUUUCCAGUAUCUGCAGAAUCUCCUGUGUUUCUUUUCCAACAGAGGGUCACACCCACCUCUCAUGUGUCCUGUUUCAAGCCUGUUGUCCAUGGAGCACUCAACCCAGCUGAGCCUGUGCCUCCAGAACAAAGUACGGUGGAAGGUGGUCCAGGGUACAUGAUUCGCCAGUGGAUGGAUUCACAUCACCGUGGAAGGGGUGCCUGGUCAACCAGAAGUCUUGGGUGCCGUCCAGUUACAUCUUGGAUCCAUUGAUCAUCAAGGAGUUCUUUCCAACCCAUCAGAUUGAGCUGGGCUGUCAAAUUUAGAUAAAGCUGUAAGAAGAGCAAAUCCUUAGCAGCAAUAUGAAGGAAAAGAGCAGUAAGGAGAGAGGUCUGUAUCUGAUGUAGAUUGCCAUGAUCUAAGCAAAAGCAAAAUAAAAAAAAAGGAAAAUAACAGUUGAUACAGGGCAGUUCAGUGCCUUUGAGGGUCAAGAGUGACGAACGUUAAGACUGCUUUGAAAUAGAGAGGCAAAAAUUAAAAAAAAAGAAAAAGAUGAAAAUGCCCAGCAGGUCAGACAGCAAUUGUGGAGUGAGAAACAGAAUUAGUGUUUCAGACCAGUGACCCUUCAUCAGAAGUUUCCUGUUGACUCUCAGUUUCUGUAGUGAUGUGUGGAUCUGAUAUUUCCUGACAUGACAUCCUUGCCCUCCAUCGCCGAACAUGCUCUUACCAGAUACAAAAAGAUGAUCUUGUUUGCCCAGGGCUACUAGGAGCCAGGUGUGGACAUAAGAGUUACGUGGGCAGACCAGGAUAAGGCCCACAAGAAAACUUCUCUAUGACCUAUGAUGGCCACCAAAGUCUCAUGCCCCUGCUCGGCGGAUGGAGAAGCGAUUAAGGUCACUUAGUAAGUUGUAAGCAAUCUUAGUGACAAAGUAGCAUCCAUAAACAUCUGUGUUUUUUUAAAAAUUGAAGUAAAUAAUGGCAUUUAAAAGUAUUUUUGAAAAAAAGGGAAAAACAUUAAACCCCAAUUUUUUCCUUAAAUGCACAUGGACUGAUAAUCCACCUUCAUUUGAAAAGUCUGACCAAGAAAUGAAGGCAGAGGUCAGUGGUGAGUUUGGAACUUGUGCUCAGAAAUGCCAGCAAUUCCACAUGGAAUAGCUGACAAAAUCCAGCAAAGUACAGACUAUAUAAAGACACUUCUGGUAUGCAGCUGUGACAAGAAGUCUUGGAAUUUGACAUGGCAGAGCUCAUGUGGCCAGUUAUCUGUUAAAAACAUGAAUUCUUGAGGUCAAUAGAUAUUAGAAAACUGCAUUCCCACAGGCUAGCUGGCUGAGACGUCCACUGAUUUAAACCUUGCAUCCUCAUUUUAAAAUGAACUUCCCUGGUUUUACUGCUAAUAUCGUAAGGAUUAUCAAAAUAUUUUCUGCUGUCCCUUUGAAAUCCUUAUUGCUAUUAAA